AUACAGAGGGUGCGAGCGUUAAUCGGAAUUACUGGGCGUAAAGCGCGCGUAGGCGGCUUAUUAAGUCAGACGUGAAAUCCCCGGGCUCAACCUGGGAACUGCAUCUGAUACUGGUAAGCUAGAGUUUUGGAGAGGGAAGUAGAAUUUCAGGUGUAGCGGUGAAAUGCAUAGAGAUCUGAAGGAAUACCAGUGGCGAAGGCGACUUCCUGGCCAAAAACUGACGCUGAGGUGCGAAAGCGUGGGUAGCAAACGGGAUUAGAUACCCGGGUAGUCC
rnacentral:rRNA from 1 species